rnacentral:lncRNA from 1 species
GGACGUCUUCGAUGUCGACUUCCUGUCCUCGGAGGACUCUGAGAACUCGUCCAACGAAGACGUGGACGUGGAGGGCAUCUCCGUCCACGAGGGCGCGUCGGACUGAAGAGGACUCCGUCGGCAGUUCCAAGUUCCUCCUCGGUCGUCGACCUCUGCUCCUGGGCUUGGGGAGCCCGUGGCGUCCAGGCGCGGCCGACCCAGGCCCCCAGGGCUCCAGGUGGACGGAAGUGACCCCCGCCGCCCGCACCCGUGCACUCCGGCCGCGUGUGAGGAGAGAGGGUCACAUGACCGUGGACGGGGGCCCCCCCCGGGGUGCCCACACCCCCCCCAACCCACUAGGUGCCUACCCGCCUGCGGCUUCUCUGGCGACCACUGUGCUUGGCUGGAAGGUCCCGGAAGCUGCCUCCCCCGCUGCGGACCACGGUGCCGGCCCCCUUGGCGGGCGUGCUCCUGCACGGCGUGGGUCUGGCCGGGCCGACCGCCCUUCCUUCCCCGGCUCGGGACCCCGCGGCUGGGUGAUUCCCGGCGUCCGGUGCCGAGAGCCCGCGGCCGUCGGGUCGGCUCUGCUCCGGCGCUGCGGACAGACUGGCUGGAGCGGGACGCGCGUUGGCCACCGACCCCCGGUGUGCAGGGGGCCCCGUACCUCCGGUCCCGUGUCGGUGCCGAAGCAGAGCUCUCGGGGCCACGGUGUGGAGGAGGACGCCCCGAGGGGACACGGAGAGCGAGGCCGGGCUGCGGGGAGGACUCCUGCCGGUCACGCACAGGCAAGAACGGGCCCAGGAGCUCGGGCCUGGGGGACCCUGUGUAGACCUGGACCUGGGGGUUUGUUCUGUGUAGACCUGAGCCUGGGGAGCUCAGGCCCGCGCAGACCUGGGCCUGGCAAGUUGCCGUCCAGGAGGGACACCCGUGCCUCUGGCUGUCCCCUCCCCGGGGCCGGGGCAGCUGUUGUGGGGAAGCAGAGCCCUUCAUGGGGGCCUCGAGAACACAGGUUGCCCGCGGGCAGGGCUCUGCAGGAGGGUCACCCUGCCAGACGCUCCGGACCCCACGGCCCGUGACCCUCAGCCGGACGUGCCGCGCCCCAGAGCCGUGCGCACGGCGUGGUCUCCCGUGGAGCCGCGGCCGUCUGUCCCCAGUAGCGUCCCUGCCUGGCAUCUGCCCCU